ACGGGAGGCAGCAGUGAGGAAUAUUGGUCAAUGGACGGAAGUCUGAACCAGCCAAGUCGCGUGAAGGAUGAAGGUAUUAUGUAUUGUAAACUUCUUUAGACGUAGAGAAAUAAGGUGCUCGUGAGCACUGAUGCUAGUAUACGUAGAAUAAGGAUCGGCUAACUCCGUGCCAGCAGCCGCGGUAAUACGGAGGAUCCGAGCGUUAUCCGGAUUUAUUGGGUUUAAAGGGAGCGUAGGCGGUAGAUCAAGUCAGCUGUGAAAUAUAGGUGCUCAACAUCUGGACUGCAGUUGAAACUGGUUUACUUGAGUGCGUAAGAGGCAGGCGGAAUUCGUCGUGUAGCGGUGAAAUGCUUAGAUAUGACGAAGAACUCCGAUUGCGAAGGCAGCUUGCUGGGCCGCAACUGACGCUGAAGCUCGAAGGUGCGGGUAUCGAACAGGAUUAGAUACCCUGGUA
rnacentral:rRNA from 1 species